rnacentral:lncRNA from 1 species
UGCUGUCAUGUGAAGAAAGACACCACCCUCUGCUUCAGUGAGCAGGAGCUCCUCUCUGAGAACAGCUACGUGUGCCUAUGCAUACCUAUUACACAGGCCUAUGUGCAAGAGAUUUGCUGAGAAAGUGCUCUCAGGGGAAGCUUAGAAGGGCAGGGGAGAAGCCGGGCAAGGGAUCCAGUGGAAGCCUCAGCCUGGUCCCAGGGGAGCUCUGGAAUGCGAAAGCUACCACAGAGCGGCCCCACCUCCAAGCAAGGGGGCGGGGAUUUUGUGCCUGUAUUACUCAGUGGCUGACUAGGGGCUGCUCUACGGGCUGGGUACCACUUCCAGACAUUUCUGGAUGAGACAGAUUGCUUCUGCCCUGGUUGAGUCUCCAGAGUAGGGUGCAGCUGGGAAGGAUGCACCAGCCAGAUGAAGAAAAUCUACACAGCACCAAGAGUCUACUACAGAAGUACAGGGGUUCACAGAUGAAGAAGAAUUGUGCCCCAGGAUGGAUCACUCCCAGAGCCUCGGAUGAUGCAUUUUGGCACUUUGGAGCUAAUCUGAAAGUUAGAUGAGAUUUUGGACUUUGAGUUGUUACUUUAAUGGGUUGAUAAGGCUGGGAAUCUUGGAGUGGAAUGCAUUUUGCAUAUGGGAUAGAUGUGUAUCUUUGGGGGCCAGAGGGCAGUCUGUGGUAAGCAGACUAAUGCCUCCAUAAAAAUGUCUACCCCUUAUCCCAGAACCCAUGAAUAUGUUAUGGUAAUGACAAAGAUUGCAAAUAGAAUUAAGGUGUUAAUUAGUUGACCUUGAGAUGGGGAGGUCAUCUUGGAUUCUGUAGUGUAACCACAAACAUACAAUGUAAUCACAAGAGUUCUUGUUAAUGGAAGGUGAAGGCAGUAGAGAGAAAAUAAGAGAUGGAAGAAUGAGCAGGACUCAACAUGAUGUGGCUGGCUUGGAGAUGGAGGAAGGGGCCACUAGCCAAGGAGUGUGGGCAGCCUCUAAAGCUGGAAAUGACAAGGGAAUGGAUCCCCCCCUAGAGCUCCAAAGGGAAUACAGCCCUGAAGACCUUGAGUUUUUCCCAGUGAGACCAGUUUGAGACCUCUGACCUCCACAACUGGAAAAUAAUAAAUGUGUAGUUACUUAAGCCACUAAGUUUGUGGUAAUUUUGUUAUAGCAACAACAGAAGAUGAAUACACCUGGUGCUGUAGGAGGGACUCCUGUAGUUCCAGGACAGGAAUGAGGAUUCCUUGGCUGCCUUCUGUCACUGUGUUGGGGAUGGGAAACACUGGACCUGGGUCACUGUCCUCCAUCUGAUACCUCUACAUUUUAGCUGGGCAUGGGGCUGCCUAGCCAAGGACUGCUUUUUUUCCCAGCC